ACGACUUGCUCCAUUCCUUAACGCGCUCUCCGGUCCUUGGAUCAAGGAUAGCAAUGUGAGGCGUAGAACGAACGGGGUAAAACCUUUUAAACUCCAUGCCAGGCUCUUCGUCAUCCAAAAGCUGAAGAAAUAAAAAGUGUGCACGAAUCACCUCUUUUACUGACUCGUCUUUCCAUAAAUCACGGUUAAGUACCUGACAUUCAAACGACGUUGAUGUCUGUAAAUUGACAAGGAUCCACCGCUUCUGAGAAGAUGCUUCUAUUCGAGCUUCAUCAAGGCUGAGAUUGGAAAUUAUAUCAUACGGCGGUCGAAACAAUUUUGCAAGGCGUGACGCUCUACUUGAACUGUCAGACUCUUCUGACGAGUCUUCUGUAUUACUUGAUGGAAAAGGGAUUUGAGAGGGAGAUUGAUCAAAAAUACCCAUACGCCUUCUUUGUCUUCGAUUCAUUCUUGGAAAUCCCCCGAAUCCAAAGUUGUUGCCCAUAAUAGAAGUUCCUGCUGACAUAUCAGCUAACGGGUCUACCAAAACCUCUCUGGUAGGUGCAAUAGGCGCACGAAUUUCUUCUACAGGCUCAGUCUGACUCGGUGCUUCUAUAUAGCUCGAUUGCACAUCGGUAACGCCUCCACUUUCAAAGAACAAUGUGAUUGCAGUCGAUAAAUCGCCAUCUGCAACGCUCAAGUACUCUUGAGCUUUUUCAGGUGUUGAAUUAGUUAUUGCGCAGAAGUUGGCUACUAAACUAGCUUCGUCUCCAUCCAUUUUUUUUACCUUCGUUUAUACCUGUACUUGGUAAAUGGCAAGUAGAGCAGGUUUAGUCAGAGAGGUAUACGCAUACCCCAUACGUAAAC